rnacentral:rRNA from 1 species
AGUGAACGCUGACGGUAGGCCUAACACAUGCAAGUCGAACGGCAGCACAGUAAGAGCUUGCUCUUACGGGUGGCGAGUGGCGGACGGGUGAGGAAUACAUCGGAAUCUACUUUUUCGCGGGGGAUAACGUAGGGAAACUUACGCUAAUACCGCAUACGAUCUACGGGUGAAAGCAGGGGAUCUUCGGACCUUGCGCGAUUGAAUGAGCCGAUGUCGGAUUAGCUAGUUGGCGGGGUAAAGGCCCACCAAGGCGACGAUCCGUAGCUGGUCUGAGAGGAUGAUCAGCCACACUGGAACUGAGACACGGUCCAGACUCCUACGGGAGGCAGCAGUGGGGAAUAUUGGACAAUGGGCGCAAGCCUGAUCCAGCCAUACCGCGUGGGUGAAGAAGGCCUUCGGGUUGUAAAGCCCUUUUGUUGGGAAAGAAAAGCAGCAGGUUAAUACCCCGCUGUUCUGACGGUACCCAAAGAAUAAGCACCGGCUAACUUCGUG